UUUUUUGGGUGGCCGUGUGUGGGGGGCUUACGCCCGCCGGAGCCUGUCUCCCGGUCUGUCAACCCGCAUACGUGCCGCCCACCCGU
rnacentral:antisense_RNA from 1 species